UAGACAAGAAUAACUGUAAAAGUUUUUAGAUAGACAUCAUAGAAACUAAUUUAAAAUCUCUAUGCAGCAAAAUUUUUAUAUUUCUUGCAAUCAAGUAAAAUAAUAGAUAUUUCUGAAAUGACUAACGCCAGGUAAAGUGCAUCGUCAUUAACAGUGGCGCAGAAAUUUACCUAUAAGAGCGCGUGAGGAACAGAAGUUUCAUUCAGAUUACCUCCUACAGUCAAAAACUCCCAAGCUAAAAAGAUGCAGUCUCUUCGAUUUGUGAUGUUCGCAGCUAUCAUGUGCUUGUUCCUGAGUGCUCGCGUCAGCGCUCAACACGUGGAAAUGAGCACAGAUGACGACGGAAACACCCAGAUGUGCCUGAUGGUGCCGGACCAGAUGAUGAGCAUGGUGGACUCAGUCUGCAAGAUGAUGAAUUGGGGAUAAUGCAUACCUAUAUUCGACAGAAACCGAUCAUGUAUUGCUGUAGACUGCACUUGUGUACUCUAGGAGAAUAAAGAAAAUUGCAUCUUGAUGUGAAA